AAGUCGUAACAAGGUUUCCGUAGGUGAACCUGCGGAAGGAUCAUUGUCGAAACCUGCAAAUCAAACCGUGAACGUGUAAUUAUAUACACGGGGCCUCGACUCGUCGAGUGCUCCGGUCCUACUUGACGCUUGCGUUUAGUGGGCUAACGAAACCCGGCGCGGCAUGCGCCAAGGAAAAUUUAAAAGAAGCGUCGCCCCCGAUACCCCCGUUUGUGGUGUGGAUUGGGUACGUGACGUCUCUGGAAUGUCUAAACGACUCUCGGCAACGGAUAUCUCGGCUCUCGCAUCGAUGAAGAACGUAGCGAAAUGCGAUACUUGGUGUGAAUUGCAGAAUCCCGUGAACCAUCGAGUCUUUGAACGCAAGUUGCGCCCGAAGCCUUUUGGCCGAGGGCACGCCUGCCUGGGCGUCACGCAUCGCGUCGCCCCCUUCACUUCCUUACGGAUUUGCGAGAUGGGUGGAAAAUGGUCUCCCGUGUGCCUCUGUGCCCGCGGCUGGCCUAAAUAAGAUCYUGCAUCGAUGGAUGUCACGGACAGUGGUGGUUGAAAACUCAAUCGUGCUAUCGUGCAUCUCCACAUCGUUUGUUAGGUAUCAGGUCGAACUACCGGUGCUUAAUUGUGCCUCCGACCGCGACCCCAGGUCAGGCGGGACUACCCGCUGAGUUUAAGCAUAUCAAUAAGCGGAGGA
rnacentral:rRNA from 1 species